UAGAAACAGAAGGAGAAUUGAGGUGUUUUGAAAAGCACCUUAGCACUAACUUGAUUUGACAUUUUCCUAUUGAGUCAAAGCUCAGCAAUAGGCCUGAUAUCUCAUUUAGCUGUGAAGUGAUGUGCUCUUCUCGCAGCCACAAAAAGACAUCAGAAAAGCAAAGUACUGCCACUCUCCACUCGGACCAAUUUGUCUCCAUCACUCCAUUCAUAUAAACACUGAAUGAUUUAGCUAAAAUUGCGCAGAGAAUCUUAUGGGGAUUUUUUUUCCCCACUUUAUUUUCAUUAUACUUGCGAGUAUGUUAGAGGUUUCGAUUCUAUGCGUGCAUUUGGCUUUGAAAGUCUCAGAUUUAGUGCUGUGGUAUUGGCUCAUUUUUCAUAUCCAUUGUUGGCUUGUCAGGGUGUCAUAGCUGUUCCACAGAGCUGUUAGAUCAGUCCAAAUGUAUAAAUCAUCCAGGAUCUGACACACUCAUUUAAUUUGGGGGGCCCUGGUGCAGCAGCGGGCCUAUUAAUGAAAAAUCCCUGCCCUGUUUGCUGAGUGGGAACAUUCAGCCUUUUUUAUUUUAUUUUUUAUUAACAUUGAUAUUCUGUAUGAUUUCCCUCAGUAGCCUGUUGGCUGCCCACUUGGCACUUUGUCAUUUAUCAUCAUAUGUUAUGUUUGUCAAUCCGUUGAAUUCUUUAAGUCAAAAGUCCUUAAGAAAAUCACUUUGCAUAUUAAGAAAAAGGGGCAAACUCUGAGGGCGUUAGGUGGGCUAAACCUUUCACAUUCCUCAGUGCAGCGGUGGUUCCAACCCCAGAGCCUGUGUUAUUGUUUUCCAUCUGUGAAAUAAAGUAACAGGUACUUAAUGUACCAAAAACAAUUUGUACAGCAGUUCUUUUUCCCCAUUGAAGGCGUGCAUGGCUCGCUGAGGGCUCCCCUUAUCUCAGCGAGGCUAAUCCAUUUUCACACUGCGCUCCGGCGCUCUCAUUUUACAGCUGAGGAGCUCUCCGGCUCCACGCUGGGCCUGAAAUGGGACCCCAGUCACUGUGGCCCCUUGGAGUUUGCGUAGGUUGGAUACCAGCGUUUCAUAUAGAUCUGAGCUGAGCUAAGUCGACGACGAUGUUUGUUCAUCCCAGAGCACUCUGCUUGAGAUUGCCAUUGCAGUUCUUCAACACAAUAAAUGAUAUGAGGAUACCAGCUGAAUCCCAAAUUUCACCAUUGGAAAUCGAUGUACUGUACCGUUUUUGUGAUGCCACUUUAGAACUUGUUAUCUGGUAAUUACAAUAAAUGAGCAGAAUUUCUUAAAAUGAAAA